rnacentral:rRNA from 1 species
UACGUAGGGUGCAAGCGUUAAUCGGAAUUACUGGGCGUAAAGCGUGCGCAGGCGGUUAUGCAAGACAGAUGUGAAAUCCCCGGGCUCAACCUGGGAACUGCAUUUGUGACUGCAUAGCUAGAGUGCGGCAGAGGGAGAUGGAAUUCCGCGUGUAGCAGUGAAAUGCGUAGAUAUGCGGAGGAACACCGAUGGCGAAGGCAGCCCCCCUGGGCUAACACUGACGCUCAGGCACGAAAGCGUGGGGAGCAAACAGG